GGUGCCGAGUGCGUCAGCUUUCCCGGACUUGCGUGGGAGUCGAAGGAGCCCGAGCUUCACGGGAGAAGGUCGCGGGGAGCUCCCGACUCUGGCCGACGGCGGGGAAAAGCGGAGAGGUCCGAGGGAGAGGCAGCGCUGCCAGCUCGUGAUUUUAUCGUCAGUCUCACAACGCUGGAUGCAAAUUUUAAAGCCCCAGCUGGUGGAGUCACGCCAUGCGCGAGAGCUUGGCUUGCGUUGAAAAGCAGGUUGAAGGUGUGAUGUUACGAGGAGCCCGCUGCUCUCCACAGUAGGAAUACCAGCACCGCCUUGAUAUACUGCGUGUGGGGGAUAAAUACAUUAAAGCUGUGUGAGUCGCUCAGAUACUGUGCUAACACUGGCCAUAAAAAUCACCUUAGAUAUAAGGCAAGCUCCUUGGGGAAGGGACUAAGUGCACUCAACGAGUAAUGAAGAGAAAUAAAAAUAAAUAUCAAAUGGCCCAUAAAAUAAAACAAUAAUGGUAACUAAAAAGUUCCUGGAUCUGUUGUGAGAGAUAAAAUCCCAUCAGCAGUAUGAAAUAACAAGAAAUACUCCCCUUUGGUUCUUUCUCCGCAUGACACAAGUCAGCACGCCUGGUCACAAGAGUAGUUAUGGAAAACAUCUUCCUUCCAGCAUCUUAUAAAUGUGUUUUUCAUGCUUGGAGAGACCUUGCGGGGUUCAAUUUAACUGGGAUCUGGGGAACACGUGAAAGGCAUUUACAGCAUGCGGCACAGUCUGGUUUUUCCUGCCGGGGAAGCAGAGGUGUAAUGUUCAUAGCUCCCAUCCACCGAGCCGCCCGGCUCCUCGGGAAAGCGCCGCGCAGCCCCCGCCGCGAGGCCUGCAGCUAGCGGCCAGCCCGGCCGGA